rnacentral:rRNA from 1 species
UCGGGAAUUUUGGGCAAUGGGCGAAAGCCUGACCCAGCAACGCCGCGUGAAGGAUGAAGUAUUUCGGUAUGUAAACUUCGAAAGAAUAGGAAGAAUAAAUGACGGUACUAUUUAUAAGGUCCGGCUAACUACGUGCCAGCAGCCGCGGUAAUACGUAGGGACCAAGCGUUGUUCGGAUUUACUGGGCGUAAAGGGUGCGCAGGCGGUUAAUUGUGUCAGGUGUGAAAUCCCGGAGCUCAACUCCGGAACUGCGCCUGAAACUGAUUGACUAGAGGCUCGGAAAGGUAAGCGGAAUUCCAGGUGUAGCGGUGAAAUGCGUAGAUAUCUGGAGGAACACCAAAGGCGAAGGCAGCUUACUAGACGAGAUCUGACGCUCAGGCACGAAAGCGUGGGGAGCAAAAAGGAUUAGAUACCCCAGUAGUCCCUGAGCGGGCUGGCAAGGCGCAU